UUCUUCAACCUCCCACCAAAUAUCCAAUCUGCGGCGGCGGCGCCAAGCUUAUCCCAUCCGUCGCCCGGCCACUCCCACAUCCUAUGCAGCAGCAGCCUCGCCCCGAGCGAUGCCCUCCACCGGCUGCUUCUUCUCUCCUCAAUCGGCGACCUCAGCAGUCAGAUCCCGGCUGGCAUCCGUUGUCCUCCCCAUCACCGCUCCGCCCUCUACAGACGUCGUCCUUGCCGUCGCCAAGCUGGAUCCACGCCGACGUCAACUUCCAGCCAAAACUCCUCCACGCUCCCCCCAAUCCCAUCCCGUCCACAAGUUAUACCAUUAAAUCAACAAGAUCAUUCUUUUGGGAGGAAAGGAGCGAAUACAUUAAUCUGGUUUUCUGGACACUUCAAGCAGUUUGGUCCUUGUUUCAGCUAGCAAAAACAUGGAUGGUACCAUAUUAACGAUGGAAUGUUCUAGUGGUAAGUGCAACAUUUAACGUAUUCUACAUUUACAUAUCUUGUGAUUUCUGUCACCCAGAUCCUAUUUUCACGGAUGCUUGGCAAGAAUUUGCGUGUUGCAUGAUCAUAAGAACAUGGCUCAGGCCGGUAUGCAGUUUCCUCUUUCUUUGAUAUACAUAACUGCCACAUUAACCGAGAUAUCAUAUGUACGGUAGAUGUGGAUGUAGCUGGUAUGUAGGUGUUAGUUACCACUCUGCCGUUCCUAAUUACAUGUAUAUAUUUGGUCCACCAGAAUAAAUAAGAGGCCGUUUUCUCACACAUGAAAAUUAGUGUUCCCAGUGAAUAUGCAAUGAGUCCCAACUAGGCUAACAUCUGUCUGGAAGAGCACUAUGUUGCCAAUAUGUAUACCAUCUACCAAGAAAUGUCCUAACUUCUAACUAUCCUCGUUCCUCGCAUACUUUAGAACAUCAGAAAAUUGCCAAUAAUUAAACUAUGAUAUAUUUACUUCUUUGAGUUGUCUGCCAAAAUCGAAUGAAAUUGCAUAUGUAUUGGUCUUGAGUUUUAUUUCAAAUGAGUUGCCUAUUUAUUAUCUCAUAGACAUUCGUGAGGUAUUUCCACAAUAUAAAUCAUGAUAUGAAUUCUUUUAUUACUUUCUAAUUUGUUUCAUUUCGUGGCAAGGUUGUCUACAGUAGUUCUCCAUUUUAUUAGGAAUCGGAGAUGAUCAAAUAGCUUUCCGUAGAUUUCUGAAAAGAUUAUCCCCGGUGCCAUUUCUCGCUAAUUCAUUCACUACCUGCAAUACAAUAUGUUUUUAAUGAGUAAAUUGCAAUACAUUCCUGUGGUGCUUGUUAGAAAUUGUACAUAGAUUCUAAUUAUUAAUCUGAAUAAACACAAGCAUCAGAUCUGUUGCGCAUGUUUCAUUUGCUUCUACUACCAUACCCAUGACGGUGUUGGAUUGCAUUCUGAUGUUUAGAGACUGACCUCACAUAUGAAUUGUCUUACUUAUAUUAAUUACGCAGUAUGUAGGGCAAGAUGGAAAGGUGUGACAGAUUUUAGCGAAAUUUUGAGUUUAAAUCUUGUCGAAAUUAGGCACGUAAAUAUAAUUGCAUAGGCCAAUGAAAAUUGGUAUUGCCAGUGAAGGGUCCGCUGCAAUUCUUAUUCAACAUCUCAGCUGUCCAGCAAAGAAAUCAAGAUUUGGACCAAUUGCAUAUUCCGACAUGGGACAACUAAUGAAUUGUUUCUUGCCGAAACAUGGGCAACCAAUCACAUAUUUGGAGGUCAAAAGAGCUAUGGGAAGCUAUUUUUUUUCAAGCAACUUAGCAGAAUAAGUGAGGACGCAGAGGAGAAAUGAGCAGAAGAAGGAUGCACAAAUAAAUCAGUUCCUGCCUGCAGCUUAUGGAAAGACUCCAGCUACUUAGAGAAUAGGAUAUUUUUCUUGAUAUGUGUGCAACUUUUUGUCCACGGAUGUGUAGUUCAGUUACGAAAUGUUAACCCCACAAGAUAUAAAUAUAAAAGUAUUGGUUUGCUGCUUUCAACUGUGUGAUGUUAUGUUUUUCUUGUGCUGUUGAAUGUUGAUCGUGAGAACAUCGUGCUUACAUAUGAAAUGGAGGAUGUAG